rnacentral:lncRNA from 1 species
GGCCACACAGGGAUAUGGCCACGGCGACCAUGGCCACGGUGGUGGAUACGGUCAUGGCGGACAUAGCGGUUAUGGCCACGACGACCACGGCCAUGGAGGCGGAUACGGCCACAGUGACCACGGUGGAUAUGGGUCCCACAGCAAACUCAGACCCGUCACGGCGCCAGCUUCAGGUUCCUCUGCUGCGUCCAGUGAUGACUACGUGACCAAACCCGCGACGUCAUCUCACGAGGAUCGCCAAUACGCGUCCUUCGAAACGUUUGGUGACUUCAGGUCCUUCGCUCACAAAUCGGGAUAGGAAGAAGGAGGGUUUUCGCCGCUGUGUGAUUGUGUACAUUGUGUUUCUUUGGAUUCGAAGGGUCGUUUUGAGAUUCUUUUUUUUUUCGUAUGAGAGGAAGAUAUGAUAUGUAAAAAAAAGAUAAUGUUAGAAUAAAGGAUGAUAUAAAUCGAU